rnacentral:misc_RNA from 1 species
AAAAAAAAAAAAAAAAAAAGCUAUUCAGAAUCAAAGCCAAUUUGACCUGGUAUAUAUGAAGAUUUGAAAAUUGUUAGACUUAGCAUUUUAGGACCAUUGAAAAUCUGAUUUGCAAUUGGAAUUUGAAUUGGCAUUAAGGACAUUUUUAACAGAGCCUAGGGUUUGUUGAGUGUGUCUAAUUUGCAUCUAAUUCCAAUUUGGAGUCUAGCUAUUUCUUAUUUUUAGUGUCACCUUACAAUUUCUUCUAUCCGUUUUGUUCCAUAAAUUGUCACUCGAGUAUAGCUUAAGAAAAUUUGAGUUCAAAAAUGGAAUUUGGUUCAAGAACAAUUGAGUGGUAAAAGGCAAGAGUGU